ACGAACGCUGGCGGCGUGCUUCACACAUGCAAGUCGAACGGAAAGGCCCUGCUUUUGUGGGGUGCUCGAGUGGCGAAUGGGUGAGUAACACGUGAGUAACCUGCCCUUGACUUUGGGAUAACUUCAGGAAACUGGGGCUAAUACCGGAUAGGAGCUCCUGCUGCAUGGUGGGGGUUGGAAAGUUUCGGCGGUUGGGGAUGGACUCGCGGCUUAUCAGCUUGUUGGUGGGGUAGUGGCUUACCAAGGCUUUGACGGGUAGCCGGCCUGAGAGGGUGACCGGCCACAUUGGGACUGAGAUACGGCCCAGACUCCUACGGGAGGCAGCAGUGGGGAAUAUUGCACAAUGGGCGGAAGCCUGAUGCAGCAACGCCGCGUGCGGGAUGACGGCCUUCGGGUUGUAAACCGCUUUCGCCUGUGACGAAGCGUGAGUGACGGUAAUGGGUAAAGAAGCACCGGCUAACUACGUG
rnacentral:rRNA from 1 species